AGAGGAGCAUCUGCCUAGAGCACAUGUACACAGGUCUGGCUGCUGCUGUUCUCAUUCUAUGGUAACAUGAUGUUGACUCACAAGUGUUGGACUUAAACCGUCUACAUCUUUGUAACGAGCCCGUGGUGCCAGGUUUGAUGCAUUCCGAGUGCUGAGAUUAUAGGUACAAAAGCCAUCAUGCCCGGUUUGUGUAAUACCGUGGAGGGAAUCCAGGUCCUUGCACUGGGUUGCUCCAAUUUCCCAUGUCCAGCUGCAAGCAAAAGAGAAAAACACCCAUGAAUGACUGGCAGGGGAAGAGACAACAGUGUGGACUGACUUUGUUCUCUGCUGCAAAGGGACCUGAUGGUGGCAACUCACAUGUCAAGAGGCAUAAGAAUAUGACUACUAUCAGGAGUGGAUUCUCAUCUGCCAGGGAUUCAGAUAGGACAAUCAGCAGACUGUCAAACGGUGACCCUGACCUCUUUUUAGUUCAAGUCUGGCUUAAGGAGGUGGAUUUUC
rnacentral:lncRNA from 1 species